rnacentral:lncRNA from 1 species
CUUCUUGCUCUGUUCCGUGAUCUUGGGAGCGGUCCUUGAUUUGGGGUGCAAGAACCGAGAAGCACUCGCAAUUGCGUUCUUGCUUAUUGCUGCAUUGUUGCAUAAAUAUAUAUAUAUAAAUAUUUAUAUAUAUAAACCCUGUAGCAAACUGUUGGGAUAAUGCUGGCCGAUGAGUGUGUCUUUACUCGAUUGAAUGUCGCUUUUAAGAUUUUUCUUGAGAUUUCUCGUUGCUGUAUCAGCUCGAUCGAUCCAUCUGUGCUCAUUUUCUUUCAGCAAUGGCCGUUGCAAGUUCUCAGUGUUUCUCAUUUUACCUUUGUUUCCUCACUCCUCAGUAGUAAAGUGAACGGAAUUUUCUUUGCUCACGGGUUCUCAGCUCUUGGCCCCUCCCUGCACUUUUGGAUGCUUUUGUUGUGAUUCCGAGAAAAAAGUUUGGAAUCUUUGAAUUGGUUUUGGCCCAAAUGAUGGCUGCUAGAGCUUGCGCACUGGCAGCUUCCCUUUCCCUUCCUCUGCUCCCUGUCUUUCUAUUCCGGUGCUGCUCUGCUUUUUAACCCCACUGCCUUUGAAACGAUAAAGCAGAUGGUCUUUAAACAUGUCAUUUUCCUGUUGCUCAGAUGAGAGUACUGGUGAUUUUGUGAUAUUACCAGAUCUGCCUUCUUUUUUUUUCCUGUUUGUUAUAUCCUUAUGUAUUUAAAUGUUUUCCAGAGAAUCCAUCCUCGCCCUUGUUCUCUUCCCACAAAACUCCCAACUUUGACACUAUGCAAAAAGAAGAUUCCCCAUCACAUCAAACUUGCGGUACAUGCAUGGAGUACUAAAUGUAGACGAAAUCAAAAACUAUUUGCACAGUUUUGUUGUACUUUGCGAGACGAAUCUUUUGAGCCUAAUUAGUCAAUAUUUGGACAAUAAUUCACAAAUACAAACAAAACGCUACAGUGUUGCUACAGUAAUUUGACACCUCCCAAAUUCGCGAAGUAAACAAGGGCCUCGUAGCUAGACUGUAAGCAGCAUAAUAUGUUUAACCUUUUAGUGGUAUGACUGUGAGUUGUACUACUUACUGGUUCUGCAUUCAUCUCCACCCAUACUGAAUUGUUUAUUUUACAGAAUUGGAAUACAACUUUCUAUUUGAGAUAUUUUUAACAAUGUAUAGGGAGUUUCAGUUUUGAGAUACAGAGGAGUACUGCCCCAUGCCCCUUAUAUAGAUGGUCAUAUUUAGGCAGUUCUUUGUAGCCAAACAUCCGGAAAUGGUCAUCCUAAAAUUUGUUAGCCCAACCCUGCCAUGUUUAUCUUCUUUUAACUAGCAGUUUACUAAAAAAAAUGUUCUGUCAGUUUGGUCAACAUGUAACAACCUUCGUAUUAGUUAUUUAAUAUAGUUAUAUACGCUGCAUACACCAGUUCUGUGUUUCUCAAUCCAUACAAAUAUGAACUUUUUUUUUCUGUAUUUCCAUGCAUAGUAGAACUGAUGUUGGCUGUUUGACAGAUGUUGCACAAAUAGCACAUAUGUUUUAUCAAGCAAUAUAACUGCACAUAAUGAACACAUCUGCCUGAACUAGUACAUAAGGCUCAAUCCAUACAAGUUCUUCAUUUUCAGACGUUCUAAACGUCAGUUGGACAUGGCUUUCUGGAAGGCCUUCCUAAACUUUAUUGUCCUGCUC